rnacentral:rRNA from 1 species
GCAAGUUUUAGUUUAAUUUGCCAUGGCAAAAUUUACUCUAUUUUUGCCAUGGCAAAAAUAUUUUUAUUCACAUGGCAAGUUUAUUUGCCAUGGCAAAAUUUACUCUAUUGUUGCCACGGCAAAAUUUACUCUAUGUUUGCCAUGUCAAAAUUUACACUAUGCAAGUAUAUUGAGCGCAACCAACUUGUUUGCCUAGAGAAGUUGCUGUCAUGUAUACAAAUACAAGCACAAGAAAGAUGAGCUGCUUGGGAAGCUACUGACAUACACCUCUUUCCAUGUUGUAGAACAAAGAUGUUUUCCAAAUUGUGAUAGCCCAAACAAAUACAAAAGACAAAAAAAUCAAACCAAUUUGCCAUGUUCUAGCUAACACAAAUUUCAGUAAAUUGUCAUGGCGUUUUUACAAAAGAAUUGCCACGGUUUAUUGAGAACAGCGUCUAUAAAAUUGCCUUGGAAAUAGUACUAACAACUUCAGAAUCAUGGCAAAACAUAUUAUGUUCUAUUUCCAUGGCAAAUGGCGACAUACUUUGUGUUUCCAUGGCAAGAUAUUAGAUAUUUUGCCAUGGUAAGAAAUAAUUUAAACUGGGACGGCAGCAAAAGUUGAGGCAACAUGGCAACAUAUUUUGUGUUUGCAUGGCAAAAACAUAUUUUGCCUUUCCAUCAACUAUAAUUUCUAAAAAAAUGCAAUGCAAAAUUGGUCAAUUAACACCACAUGAAAGUAAAAAGAGUUUCUGCAAUCCAUGAAUGACUGAGAAAAUGAAUCAUACAAUAAUUGCAUCAUAUGGAUUGAGCUAAAAAAGGUGAAUCACCGUCGAGAGGUCAUGUGUUGAGCCAGUAACAUAAAACUGAACCUGUCCUUCGAGAGUUCAUGUGCAGCAGACGAGUUCCUGAACGCCCGAGCGGCCGGAGAAGACGAGCAGGAUGGUCCCGUCGCCCAUGGGCAGCGCCUGGUCGCCGUGCUAGGAGAAGACGUGGCCGUGGAGGGCGCCGCCACGCAGGAUGGCGCCGUCGUCUCCGGGUGAACGCGCAGCGCACGAGUUCCCCGGCGUCCGAUAAGCCAGAGAAGACGAGGAGGAGGGUCCCGUCGCCCAUGGACACCGUGCUCGGAGAAGACGCGACCGAGGUGGGCGCCGAGGCGAGGGGCGAUGCUAUCGCCUAAAAAUGGCCGCGCCGUCGCGACGGACGCGAAGGUGUGCGGCGGAGGAGACGCAGCUCGGCGAGGGCGGACUCCGUCGGCGUCGAGUAUGGUCAGCUCGGGGACGGAAGCCUCGGAUGGCGGCGACCUCGGCGACGGCGAGGAUCGCGCGGAUGGAGGCGUGUCCGUGGAGCGGUGGAGGCUGCCGCGGCCCUCAGCCUCCAACCACAACGGCAGCUGAAGCCGCUCGCGCGGACCCGGAGCACGCCGGCCUGUUGCUUCACGCCGGCGAGCAUCGCGGCGACCUACGGCGGUCGGCCUCCGCCUCACUCUCUGGUUGGGCGCGGCCUGAGAGGAAUGGAUAAGGAGGGGAAUAGAGAAAUGCGGCGACGGGAUUCGUUUGGGAUGAGAAUUC